rfam:Schistosoma curassoni strain Dakar, Senegal genome assembly, scaffold: SCTD_contig0007342
GAAUUCAUGAUGAGUCCCACAAUAGGACGAAACGGCCGUCCAGUGC